GCACUGUCUUUGAACCUGUGAUGCCCUACCCGUGGUCUCUCAGGCCAAACUACCGUUGCUACAUCAACCCCAGGCUUGUUUAUAACUGGAGAUUGCUGGCAACCCCACUGGGUCUCUCUUUUAAAAGCAACUCGCAACGUAU
ensembl:snoRNA